GACGAACGCUGGCGGCGUGCUUAACACAUGCGAGUCGAACGGAAAGGCCCUGCUUUUGUGGGGUGCUCGAGUGGCGAACGGGUGAGUAACACGUGAGUAACCUGCCCUUGACUUUGGGAUAACUUCAGGAAACUGGGGCUAAUACCGGAUAGGAGCUCCUGCUGCAUGGUGGGGGUUGGAAAGUUUCGGCGGUUGGCGAUGGACUCGCGGCUUAUCAGCUUGUUGGUGGGGUAGUGGCUUACCAAGGCUUUGACGGGUAGCCGGCCUGAGAGGGUGACCGGCCACAUUGGGACUGAGAUACGGCCCAGACUCCUACGGGAGGCAGCAGUGGGGAAUAUUGCACAAUGGGCGGAAGCCUGAUGCAGCAACGCCGCGUGCGGGAUGACGGCCUUCGGGUUGUAAACCGCUUUCGCCUGUGACGAAGCGUGAGUGACGGUAAUGGGUAAAGAAGCACCGGCUAACUACGUG
rnacentral:rRNA from 1 species